GUAUAGGUGAACUGCGGUAUAGGUAAAAACAUAAAACAGUUCAGCAUAUUUUAUAAAACAUGUUUGUUAAUCGCUCUUGUCGAAUAGAAGAACGAAGGUACGAUUUUUGGACCCCAAAUCCAGUUGCGCUAAUGGCAGGCGCCUUUUUCGCCACCAAGGGGUCCUCGGCCGAGGCCCAGAGGAGGGAUACAAUCAUAAAUGUUAUUCCCUUUCGACGAGCUUAUUUAAUAAGCAAAGAAAAUAAAUAAAGUAAAUUAAAUAAACUCCGGGAAGAAAUUAGAGGACGAUUAUUAUACUGGUUGUAUGUACCCUGAUGUGCUGAUAUCAUCCUGGGGUGUCAGGGACCCUGAAGCUAAAAUGUGCCACUCAGACUUUUUGUAGAAAAAUUAAAACCUCUGUAAUUUUUGACUCUGACUCUGACUACUUAGCCGCACAAACGCAACGGUUUUAAGCUAGUCUCAGAGACCUUUUUACCAUCUUUGUGCUUUAUAUAUAUAUAAGAUAAAAAAUAAGUUUAUGCAAUUGCUUUUACAUUUUAUUAAUAUAGUAAAAUCAACAGAUACAAAACAUUCUUAAUGCAAUGUAAAAUAAAAUUAUUAUUAUUAUA